rfam:Candidatus Liberibacter africanus PTSAPSY, complete genome.
GGAGGGAUGCCCGAGUGGUUAAAGGGGGCGGACUGUAAAUCCGUUGGUUUAUCCUACGUCGGUUCAAAUCCGACUCCCUCCA